rnacentral:rRNA from 1 species
CCUACGGGAGGCAGCAGUGGGGAAUAUUGCGCAAUGGGCGAAAGCCUGACGCAGCGACGCCGCGUGAGGGAUGAAGGUCUUCGGAUCGUAAACCUCUGUCAGCAGGGACGAACGGUCACUGUGCUAAUCAGCAGUGAAUUGACGGUACCUGCAACGGAAGCACCGGCUAACUUCGUGCCAGCAGCCGCGGUAAUACGAAGGGGGCAAGCGUUGUUCGGAAUUACUGGGCGUAAAGGGAGUGUAGGCGGUUUAGUAAGAUAGUGGUGAAGUCCCAGAGCUUAACUUUGGAAUUGCCAUUAUAACUAUUAGACUAGAAUUACAGAGAGGAUAGUGGAAUACCCAGUGUAGAGGUGAAAUUCGUAGAUAUUGGGUAGAACACCAGUGGCGAAGGCGACUAUCUGGCUGUACAUUGACGCUGAGGCUCGAAAGCAUGGGGAUCAAACAGGAUUAGAUACCCCAGUAGUC